rnacentral:rRNA from 1 species
UGAGGAAUAUUGGUCAAUGGGCGCAAGCCUGAACCAGCCAUCCCGCGUGCAGGAUGACGGCCCUAUGGGUUGUAAACUGCUUUUAUUUGCCAAGAAUGGUUACUACGUG